GGAUUGCCUUAGUAACGGCGAGUGAAGCGGCAAAAGCUCAAAUUUGAAAUCUGGUACCUUCGGUGCCCGAGUUGUAAUUUGGAGAGGGCAACUUUGGGGCCGUUCCUUGUCUAUGUUCCUUGGAACAGGACGUCAUAGAGGGUGAGAAUCCCGUGUGGCGAGGAGUGCGGUUCUUUGUAAAGUGCCUUCGAAGAGUCGAGUUGUUUGGGAAUGCAGCUCUAAGUGGGUGGUAAAUUCCAUCUAAAGCUAAAUAUUGGCGAGAGACCGAUAGCGAACAAGUACAGUGAUGGAAAGAUGAAAAGAACUUUGAAAAGAGAGUGAAAAAGUACGUGAAAUUGUUGAAAGGGAAGGGCAUUUGAUCAGACAUGGUGUUUUGUGCCCUCUGCUCCUUGUGGGUAGGGGAAUCUCGCAUUUCACUGGGCCAGCAUCAGUUUUGGUGGCAGGAUAAAUCCAUAGGAAUGUAGCUUGCCUCGGUAAGUAUUAUAGCCUGUGGGAAUACUGCCAGCUGGGACUGAGGACUGCGACGUAAGUCAAGGAUGCUGGCAUAAUGGUUAUAUGCCGCCCGUCUUGAAACACGGACCUCCUGUGUGAAGUG
rnacentral:rRNA from 1 species